UGGUGGGGGUCCGUGUCUUCUGUUUUUGGAGGUUCCAAUGAAAUAAAUUUUCUUGGGAACCAUGUAAAAGACCCUUCCCUGAUCUUUAAUCUGACCCUAGGUGCAGGUCUAUUGUGUGCUGUAGAGAGCAGCCUUGCUCUACUGCUGCUGGGGCUAUUUACAGUCUGAGGGUGGCUGUGAUCGCUGCAGUCUGAGAAAGGGCAAGCUGGCAAGUUAUCUCCAGCACUGCUUCAGACUUUGUCAUUCCUGACUCCUCUACCUUCUCCCCUUGUGAGCAUUUGAAGGGGGAAUGGGAAUUGCAGUCAGUCCACAAUGCCUUGUUAUUAUUGUUAAUUUCUCCUCACACUUUUCCCUUGUGCAAGUGUGGGGUUUCAGCUGUUGCAUCUGCUCCAUAUGAACUACUCCAGUGUUGCUCCUUUCCACAGGUUGUAGUUCUUGAAGAAUUGCUCCAGAGUGGGUCCUUUUCAAGGGGUGCAGUCCUUCAGGAAUGGGUUGCUUUAGUGUGGGGCCCCCACAAGCCACAGAUCCAGAAAACCUGCUCCUGUGUGGACUCCUCUCCAGAGGCCACAGUUUUCUGCCAGGUCUGCUGCUCUCUAGAGGCUGCAACUUUCUUCAGAAGAUGUCCAGCUGCUGCAGCAUGGGAUUUCCAGAGGCUGCAGUGUGAUACCUACUCCACCACGGUUUUCCAGAGGCUGCACGGAACCCCUGCUCUGGAGCCCCCCUCCUUUCUGAUGAGCUCAGCUGUGUUCCCUGGUGAGUCCAUUGGAGCUGGCUGGACCUAUGUGUCCAGCACAAGCUAGUAUCUGGUUUUGUCUCACAGAGGCAACACUUGCAGUCCUGCAGCUGCCAAAAUCUUGCCAGGUUUUUCAUGGAUCUCUCUCUCUUCAUGAUAGAAGAUCUCUUGUUAGCUUGAAGUGCUCUGAGGCUCUGCUAGCAUCUAUUCCUCUGCACCCCAGGUGUUCCUUUUUGCCUCCUUCCAGCCCUUCUCCUUGUAGCAAACCCUCUGUCUCAGCCACUGUCAAGAUUGGGCAGAGUUCAUUGAGCUGUGAGGUCUAAAGGUCUGAAGUUACACUUCCCAGAGCAUAUCCAAGGCACUCCUCAAUCCAUGCAGACACCAGUAGGCUCUGGUGUAGCUUCAGUGUGGCUUCAGUGGCACGGAUGUUCUUGUUUAAUUGUAAACUCUGGCAUGUGCUGAAGAAGCCUGGUAGCUGGGAGAGCUUGGUGCUUGGGAGCCAAGCAAUAAAGCUGAUGUAGUGUGGAAUAGCCUGGCCUCAGCCUCCCUAGGCUUCUCAUCCAGAAAGACACAAACUAGACCAGAGUGUGAUUCAGAGCAGCUUCAUCUUCUGAAUGUCCCUGGCAAUUGCGUCUCCUUCUGCACUGACAAUAAAUACCGCUAAUGGCAGCCCCUUUCUACCUUAACCACUGCUUUAAUAGGGAGUGGGAAGGUCACAGUCAGAUACAGUGGAGCUUGAGAGUUGAGAAAAGACUUGCAGAUAAUGUAUCAAAGUUACUAUGCAGGUAUGCGUUAGCUGGAGAAAGUCACUAAUAGCACAAAACAAUAACAGCAAAAAAGCCUUGCAGACAGAUUUUAAUAUUUUUUUUCCCCCCAUCUUUAUAAGUUGCUAAUUCCCUGAUCAGCAGAAAAGAGUAGCAAGGAAAAAGUAGACAAGAAAAAUAUAUUCUUAUUAUCUGGAUUGAAUUUUGCCUGGAGCUUUCUUUUUAUUUUUUUCCCUUUAGUGUGACUGAGCAAUGGCUGCUGAACUGCCAGCGAGCGUAUUUUAUUGCGAUCCUGUGUAUGUCAUUGCCCUGCUGCCAGUGGCAUGUAUACUCAUCAGUCAAACAGAACUAUCCAACAUGUUUGAUUUACUGUCACUGAAUCAAAUCUAUUUGUGGGUUUCCAUAACAUAAAACAUUUUGCUAGAGAUUAAUCCCCUGAUUUGCAUGUUGCUCUUGGGAACUAUAUCAUUACUUUCUUUGAUGGAUUCAUUUUGAAGUCAAGAAAGAUGCAACUUGAUUUUUUACUCUGUAUUCCAGGUGGUGCCUUGCUCUUUGUUAUCUGACCUUUAUAUUAACUCUUCCCUUUGUCAGUCUCAGAGGUAUUACUCAUAUUUGUGUCUGCUAGUGGAAGAUUAAGUGAUUUUAGCUCAGUCAGGACAGUAAAAAGAGACUCUCAGAACACCCUGGUGAAUGUACCAGCAAACACCAUGUUUCUGAUUUUGGAAUUGUUGCCUUUUCUCAGGCUUGCUGCUGUGAACAUGCUAGAAAGUAAAAUUGUAUUUGUUCACUGACAUCUGUUUCAAUUUAUACUCCAAGAUGAAGAUCCACUUGGAUAAA